rnacentral:sRNA from 1 species
GCUGGAUGCAGUGAUGCACACCUGUAAUCCUGUUUACUUGGGAGGCUGAGGCAGAAGGAUUGCAAGUCCGAGGCCAGCUUUAGCUUCUU